rfam:Brassica oleracea var. oleracea cultivar TO1000 chromosome C3, whole genome shotgun sequence
GUCGCUUCGGGGACGUCCGAUAAAAUUGGAACGAUACAGAGAAGAUUAGCAUGGCCCGUGCGCAAGGAUGACACACACAAAUCAAGAAAUGGUUAUUUCAGUUUUU